UACGUAGGUGGCAAGCGUUGUCCGGAUUUACUGGGUGUAAAGGGCGUGUAGCCGGGUCGGCAAGUCAGAUGUGAAAUCUGGAGGCUCAACCUCCAAACUGCAUUUGAAACUGUUGGUCUUGAGUAUCGGAGAGGUAAUCGGAAUUCCUAGUGUAGCGGUGAAAUGCGUAGAUAUUAGGAAGAACACCAGUGGCGAAGGCGGAUUACUGGACGACAACUGACGGUGAGGCGCGAAAGCGUGGGGAGCAAAC
rnacentral:rRNA from 1 species